rnacentral:misc_RNA from 1 species
UGGCUCUCGCAUCGAUGAAGAACGCAGCGAAAUGCGAUAAGUAAUGUGAAUUGCAGAAUUCAGUGAAUCAUCGAGUCUUUGAACGCACCUUGCGCCCCUUGGUGCUCCGAGGGGCAUGCCUGUUUGAGUGUCUCCAGAAUCAUCAACCCAUCAGGUCUCCCAGACCUCUCGGGCUCUUGGACUUUGGGGUGUGCAGGGGGGAAAUCAGCUUUCGCAAGUUGUUUAACCCCCCCGCUCCCCUUGAAAUGCAUCGGCGGUCGCACAUUCUGCGAGCCCCCAGGCUGCGGUGUGAUAAUCAUCUAUGCCGCGUCGCUUCGGGGGAAGCGCUUGUGUCCAGACUCUGCCUCGUCAUCGGAUUCGCUCCUGCGAGUUGAUCUCUCGACGGCUUGACCUCAAAUCAGGUAGGAUUACCCGCUGA